rnacentral:rRNA from 1 species
CAUACGAUCUAAGGAUGAAAGCAGGGGAUCUUCGGACCUUGUGCUCCUGGAGCGGCCGAUAUCUGAUUAGCUAGUUGGUGAGGUAAAGGCUCACCAAGGCUACGAUCAGUAGCUGGUCUGAGAGGACGACCAGCCACACUGGAACUGAGACACGGUCCAGACUCCUACGGGAGGCAGCAGUGGGGAAUUUUGGACAAUGGGCGAAAGCCUGAUCCAGCAAUGCCGCGUGAGUGAAGAAGGCCUUCGGGUUGUAAAGCUCUUUUGUCAGGGAAGAAACGGUGAGGGCUAAUAUCCUUCGCUAAUGACGGUACCUGAAGAAUAAGCACCGGCUAACUACGUGCCAGCAGCCGCGGUAAUACGUAGGGUGCAAGCGUUAAUCGGAAUUACUGGGCGUAAAGCGUGCGCAGGCGGUUUUGUAAGUCUGACGUGAAAUCCCCGGGCUCAACCUGGGAAUUGCGUUGGAGACUGCAAGGCUAGAAUCUGGCAGAGGGGGGUAGAAUUCCACGUGUAGCAGUGAAAUGCGUAGAGAUGUGGAGGAACACCGAUGGCGAAGGCAGCCCCCUGGGUCAAGAUUGACGCUCAUGCACGAAAGCGUGGGGAGCAAACAGGAUUAGAUACCCUGGUAGUCCACGCCCUAAACGAUGUCUACUAGUUGUCGGGUUUUAAUUAACUUGGUAACGCAGCUAACGCGUGAAGUAGACCGCCUGGGGAGUACGGUCGCAAGAUUAAAACUCAAAGGAAUUGACGGGGGACCCGCACAAGCGGUGGAUGAUGUGGAUUAAUUCGAUGCAACGCGAAAAAC